CUGGAUUGAAUCUCAAAUAUUACAAUUACCACUGUUAACUUGACAGUAGCAAGGAUUCAUUUUUAGUGUAUCAAAACCCAUCGGAGCCCUCACCCAAAAAUAAAAUUUGCUUGCCUCUGAUGCUCACCACCUCGCUGAAUAUGAGAAAGACAGUCAUCCACCACAAAGUUAGUCCUCCCCAGAGGAAAAGUAGAAGAACCCACAGCGGAGACACUUUUACAAACCAUGCAUCUCGAAGACAAAGGGAAGAAAGGAAAAACCGAUCAAAAACGAAAGAGAAAGAGGAAAGGAUAGCGCAUCUGGCAACAAUGGGCGCCACCACUGGUCGCCGCAGAAAAAAACAUGGCGAAGAUUAAAGUAGAGUCUUGAAACGAGAGGUUGGAGGUUUUCCACGUUUAAUUUCGUAAUUACCUUAGGUUAUCC
rnacentral:lncRNA from 1 species